rnacentral:rRNA from 1 species
AUCAGUGGCGAACGGGUGAGUAACACGUGAGUAACCUGCCCCAGACUCUGGGAUAACUUCGGGAAAUCGGAGCUAAUACCGGAUAUGAGACGUCCUCGCAUGGGGAGCGUCUGGAAAGAUUUAUUGGUCUGGGAUGGACUCGCGGCCUAUCAGCUUGUUGGUGAGGUAAUGGCUCACCAAGGCGACGACGGGUAGCCGGCCUGAGAGGGUGACCGGCCACACUGGGACUGAGACACGGCCCAGACUCCUACGGGAGGCAGCAGUGGGGAAUAUUGCACAAUGGGCGAAAGCCUGAUGCAGCAACGCCGCGUGAGGGACGACGGCCUUCGGGUUGUAAACCUCUUUUAGUAGGGAAGAAGCGAAAGUGACGGUACCUGCAGAAAAAGCACCGGCUAACUACGUGCCAGCAGCCGCGGUAAUACGUAGGGUGCAAGCGUUGUCCGGAAUUAUUGGGCGUAAAGAGCUCGUAGGCGG